AAAAGAUAGAGUGCCAGUUAAAUUUGAAUUUUAGGUAAACAAUGACAAUUUUUUUAGUGUAUUUUUACUGGGUAAUCCUACUCAGAAGUAAUACAUACUCUCAACACGAGUUUCUCUUCUGUUUUUCUGUUUUCUUUCCUCCUCUUCCUUCUGUCCCUCUCCACCUCCUCCUUCUUCUCCUUCUCUUCCUCCUUCUCUGCUUCCUCCUGCUUCUCCUUCUCUUCCUCCUCCUCCUCCUCCUUUUCCUUCUUCUGUAGAAUUUUGAUUUACACAGUGAAUUUGAAAAUCUACCGGUGAACACCCAAAUCAAACAUAUUGACGGGGAGCAUCGUCUGUGCAUGAAUAUUCAGAAGCUGACUGUGUUGAUUGGCCUUGUUACGUAUUCAGCAUUUCUGGGUGACUCCAGGAUCGAACUGUUCUUGCACUGACAGAACCACCCUUGGGGAAGCCUGGAUCACACUCAUUCAUUAACUUAUUCGGUCAUCCAGUCAGUCAUUUAUCUGGUGGCAUUCGGCGUGUUCUUCUCUAUUUACAAGGUCAGUGCUUUUGGCAAGGGAAGUAGCUGAAGUUGACCCACAUUUUCCUUUCCUCUGAACCAUUGGUUCGGUUUUCUUUCUUCACAUGGAAUCUAAUCAGCCUAAUUCUUGCCUUGCUUCAGAAAGGUUCUUGCAGGAGGGAAAAUGAGUCUUCCCAUCGUUACAUAAAUUCUCAUGGGGCUUCCCUUUAUAAGUUUAUGACAGCCAGGAGUUGAGGCUGGAGCCCUGAGAGAAACAGCCACACACUGAUUGAUGAUGGCAGCUGCUGCUAAAUCUCAGCCCUCUUUCCUUCUUACAGAGCCGUGUUACCUUGGGGUUACAGAACUCUUUUCACUGUUAUUCAGGGGAAUAAUAAUAAAAUGCCAGGUUGCAAGUAUAAACAUGAUCAUUCUGUGCCUAUUAUUGUAAAUCAAAUUUCACCUUGCAUCAGAAGCACAGAAAACAUUUUAUGCUGUCAGCCACCUCAAGCCUCUUUCGGCGUCUGUUUUUAUAUAACCCUGGGAUGACCUGAGGUAUUGUUUGAGCUGCCCUGACCAGGGAAGCUGGUCACACAGGGGAUCUGUUUCUCUCACACACUCAAUUAACCACUUUCCUUAAGCAAAGCAUUAACUUGAUCUGAGCAUCGCAUUGGGGUUAAGGAUGUGGGCUCAGGGCUGCUGUUGCCUGGGUUCAGAGCAUUUGUGUGACAGAGAAAAGUCACUGACCUGCUCGGUUAUCAGCUUCCUUAGUUUUAAAAUAGGAAUGACAAUGAUGGUGGUAACUAUGUUUUCAGGUUCUGUAAGGUUUAGUGUGGUCAAUACACAGCAUUUACAGUAAGGCCUGACCUGGGGGUAGCCCUUUAAGGUUUAGUUAUUUAUAAUUGUCCUUUUGGUGUAGUAGCUCCUAAUUUGUUUUUGACCUUGAAGACCCCGUUGGAAAGAAAAACCAAUUUUUCAGAUUCCCAUGUGAUGAUGAGAAACCUUUUGAGAUCUACAUGGUGAGCGAACACACAGUGACAAGAUGCUAGUGGGAGUUCAGUGACACUUGUGUCUUAGAGUGGGGCUCACCACUGUCCAGACCUAUCCCAGAGUUGGGGCGGGGCUUUUCCUUCCUCCCUGCUACCCAUCUGGGUGUCAAGGCUUGUUUCAGGGCUGCUCAGGAAUGGUAGCCAUUGAAAAGGAGACUGUGAACCCCCAGCAGGUGGGAUGAGCUCAGCAAAGUCUCUGGAAGAACCACUGGCUGGCCCGGUGAUAGAUGGGAACAAGUAGAGGCACUGAAAGAAGGCUGCUGGUCCCUCCGGUCACCAGCAGACUCCGCCUCACUCCUGCUUCUCCACUCAACGGUCCAGCCAUACGUGAGUCCUGACCUCUCAUCAAGGUCACACAUCCCAUCCUCUUCUAGCCUGAGGCUCCAUCAUCUACUGUGCUUGGGGACAGGCCAUAGAGUCUACAGGGGAGCGUCGAACUGAUGAGGAGCUGGUCCUAAUCCUGUAUAUCACCACUGUAUGACAUCGGUCAAAUCACUUCACCCGUUCAUCCAUGUUGUCGCAUUUAUCCGUACUUCAUUCCUUUUUCAUAGCAGAAUAAUAUUUCAUCGUAUGGCUGUACCAUCUUUGGUUAUCCAUUUAUCCAAUGAUAGACACGUGAGUUGUUUCUACCUUUUGGCUAUUGUGAAUACUGCUGCUGUAGUGAAUAUUUAUGUAUACUAUACACAAAUAAUUUAUGUACAAAUGUACACAUGUAGUUGUGUAUUUGUUUACAAGUUUUUGUGUGAACAUAUGUUUUCAAGUCUCUUGGGUAUGCACCUAGGAGUAGAACUGCUAGGUCUUACUGUAACUCUAUGUUUCACUUUUUGAGGAAUUGUCAAACUGUGUCCCAGAGCAGCUACACCAUUUUACAUUCCCAGAAGUGUAUGAGGGUUCCAAUUUCCCCCAAUCUCACCAAUACUUGUUAUUAUCUGUCUUUUUAUUAUAGCCUUCCUAGUGAGUGUGGUUUCUCCUUGUGGUUUUGAUUUGCAUUUCCCUGAUGACUAAUGAUGUUGAGCAUCUUUUCAUGUGCUUCUGGACCAUUUGUCUCUCUUCUUUGGGGAAAUGUCUAUUCAGAUCCUUUGCCCAUGCUACAACAUGGAUAAAACCUAAAAACAUUUAAAAUUGGGUUGUCUUUUUUACUGUUGAGUUACAGGAGUUCUUACAUAUCCUGAAUAUUAGAUAACUGAUUUGCAAAUACUCCAA